AGAGUUUGAUUAUGGCUCAGAACGAACGCUGGUGGCGUGUCUUAUACAUGCAAGUCGAGCGGGGCAGCAAUGCCCAGCGGCGAACGGGUGAGUAACGCGUAAGCAAUCUGCCCCAUAUCAGGAAAUACCCGUGCCAACGCGCGGUUAAUGUCCAGGAGCGUGGCCCUCCGCAUGGAGGGUUGACAAGAGAUUUAUCGGUAUGGGAUGAGCUUGCGUCCGAUUAGCUAGUUGGCGGGGCAACGGCCCACCAAGGCGACGAUCGGUAGCCGGCCUGAGAGGGUGAUCGGCCACAUUGGGACUGAGAUACGGCCCAGACUCCUACGGGAGGCAGCAGUAGGGAAUAUUGCACAAUGGGGGAAACCCUGAUGCAGCAAACCGCCACGUGUGGGAAGAAGCAUUUCGGUGUGUAAACCACUGUCGUGAGGGAAUAAGGCUAAUUUUCGGAUUAGUUGAAUGUACCUCGAAAGGAAGCACCGGCAAACUUCGUGCCAGCCGCCGC
rnacentral:rRNA from 1 species